rnacentral:lncRNA from 1 species
GGAUGGACUCCCCCAGUGGGAGAGCUGACACCAUGUAAAUGAUUCAUUAGCAGAUGCUUUAGCUGAACCUCAGCUGUUUUCACCAGUGACGUCGAUGUGACGGAGAUAUUUGUUCAGGUGAUGGGACUUGAGUGGGCCUUGGGCCAGACCUCCACCCCCAGGGACCACCCUUCUAGCACUGAAAGGCAAUAGUCUUCACACUGGCUGAAUCCUGUAUUUUCUCAAUCCUCCAAAUCCGACCAACUUCUCUAAAUUGUACUGCAAGGUUUUGGCAGCCAGAGCUCCCACUCCUUGCCACCAUCCCACCGCCACCACUGGAGGUGCUGAAGGCCAAGUACAAGCCAUCCGGGUGGAAACCUGUAUUUGAAGGUCUGCACCGCGGGGCAAAGGGCCAGCUUGUUCCCUCUGCAACUGGAUGAGCUGAAUUGGCAGCAGACAACCAGCGUUUCUCAGGAAGCUGUACCAACAAGAUGCAAAAGGGAGAGGUGGAGCAGAGGAGGGCAGUUCAUGAGCUGAUUGUGCUAAGCCCUGUCAAAUAAUCCUUUAGAAACCCGAUGAGUGGGAGCCGCGGACCAGCAGCAGUAGCAGCAAUGCCUGGGAGCUUGCUAGAAACACAGAAUGUCACUCCCCACCCCAGACUAAUGAGAAUCUGCGUCUUGACAAGAUCCCUGGCUGAUGCCUGUACAGCUUUACAGUUUGAAGAGCACUGGUCUAAAGGCAACAAAUCAUGAAGAUUUUAUUUCAAAAAUCCAAGGGCCCUUGGGACCCCAGAGAAUGCCACUUCACUUGAAUAAAACCAGACCUGGGUGCCCUCUCUACCACGGGGGAAUUGCCACUUUGACCCUCCUGAACACUCUACUUAAGACUCAGGUGUGUCCCUCUUGUCUCAUCCUUCAGUGAGCCCCCACGACUGGAAGCGCCCGUGGGCAAGGACACAGGUCACGGGGCAACCUCUGCCCUCAUGUGUGCCUCUCAUCUCUCGCUCAUGCCUUCAGCACAGAACUGAGCAUUUGCUGUCCAUCAGGCCCUGGGGUGGCUCUCUGGCUACAGAGAGAAAGGAAGAUUCCUGCCCCGGAGGGGCUCCCACUCUAUGGGCUGAUGCUGGAGGGAGAGAGAUGACAGUAGCUGGUGAGUGGGAGAAGUCUUUAGACUCUCAGGCCCCACGUGCCAUCACUGACAGGCUGCUCAUGACAGCCAACAUCAGAAAGCCAAAUGUCCUGGGAGUAGGAAUCUCUGUCUUCCCGGGGAAGGCUCCAUCCAUGCAGUAUCUGUCACGUGCAAAGAGACAGCUUCCAAGACACAGCGUGUGCACGUGGUAUUGAACAUUAAAGAGAACGUAGGCUGCCGAGUGUGCUGUGUGCCAUCUUGAUGUGUU